rnacentral:rRNA from 1 species
GAUGAACGCUGGCGGCGUGCUUAACACAUGCAAGUCGAACGAGAGAAGAUCGGUGCUUGCACAGAUCCGAUCGAGUGGCGGACGGGUGAGUAACGCGUGGGUAACCUGCCUCAUACAGGGGAAUAACAGUUGGAAACGGCUGCUAAAACCGCAUAAGCGCACAGUAUCGCAUGAUACAGUGUGAAAAACUCCGGUGGUAUGAGAUGGACCCGCGUCUGAUUAGCUAGUUGGUGAGGUAACGGCCCACCAAGGCAACGAUCAGUAGCCGGCCUGAGAGGGUGAACGGCCACAUUGGGACUGAGACACGGCCCAAACUCCUACGGGAGGCAGCAGUGGGGAAUAUUGCACAAUGGGGGAAACCCUGAUGCAGCGACGCCGCGUGAGUGACGACGGAUUUCGGUCUGUAAAGCCCUUUUGUCAGGGAAUAAAAAAAUGAAUGUACCUGAAGAAUAAGCACCGGCUAACUUCGUGCCAGCCGCCGCCGUAA